rnacentral:rRNA from 1 species
UACGGAGGGAGCUAGCGUUGUUCGGAAUUACUGGGCGUAAAGCGCACGUAGGCGGCUUUGUAAGUUAGAGGUGAAAGCCCGGGGCUCAACCCCGGAAUUGCCUUUAAGACUGCAUCGCUUGAAUCCGGGAGAGGUGAGUGGAAUUCCGAGUGUAGAGGUGAAAUUCGUAGAUAUUCGGAAGAACACCAGUGGCGAAGGCGGCUCACUGGACCGGUAUUGACGCUGGAGGUGCGAAAGGCGUGGGGAGCAAACAGG